rnacentral:rRNA from 1 species
GACGAACGCUGGCGGCGUGCUUAACACAUGCAAGUCGAACGGAAAGGCCCUGCUUUUGUGGGGUGCUCGAGUGGCGAACGGGUGAGUAACACGUGAGUAACCUGCCCUUGACUUUGGGAUAACUUCAGGAAACUGAGGCUAAUACCGGAUAGGAGCUCCUGCUGCAUGGUGGGGGUUGGAAAGUUUCGGCGGUUGGGGAUGGACUCGCGGCUUAUCAGCUUGUUGGUGGGGUAGUGGCUUACCAAGGCUUUGACGGGUAGCCGGCCUGAGAGGGUGACCGGCCCACGUGGGACUGAGAUACGGCCCAGACUACUACGGGAGGCAGAAGUGGGGAAUAAUGCCCGAUGGGCGGAAGUCUGGUGCAGCAAGGCCGCGUGCGGGAUGACGGCCUUCGGGUUGGAAACCGCUUUCGCCUGUGACGGAGCGUGAGUGAAGGUAAUGGGUAAAGAAGCACCGGCUAACUACGUG